rnacentral:rRNA from 1 species
CAGCCGCCACGGUAAUACAGAGGGUGCAAGCGUUAAUCGGAAUUACUGGGCGUAAAGUGCGCGUAGGUGGUUUGUUAAGUUGGAUGUGAAAUCCCCGGGCUCAACCUGGGAACUGCAUCCAAAACUGGCAAGCUAGAGUAUGGUAGAGGGUGGUGGAAUUUCCUGUGUAGCGGUGAAAUGCGUAGAUAUAGGAAGGAACACCAGUGGCGAAGGCGACCACCUGGACUGAUACUGACACUGAGGUGCGAAAGCGUGGGGAGCAAACAGGAUUAGAUACCCGUGUAGUCCCUGUCUCUUAUAA